AAAGCAUUUCUCGGUUUAUAGCCACGCAGGGUCCAGUGCCACACACCUUUGAGGAUUUUUGGGAGAUGGUAAUCCAGUAUAAUUGCCCUGUGAUUGUGAUGCUUACUCGUCUGGUUGACAAUUACAAGACUGAAAAAUGUGGAGACUAUUUUCAAGCAGAAGAUGGUCCUAGAGAUUUUGGAAAUAUGUGUCUAGUUACUAAAUGGAUGAGAAGUACUGACACUUCAUUAGUGUUGCGCCACUUGGAGGUGGGAUAUAAAGAGUCAGAGGAGCCACCCAUGUCUGUUUUGCAUGUUCAGUACACUGAAUGGCCUGAUCAUGGAGUUCCCAAGGACACACUUACCGUUCGCGAAAUCUUAAAAAGAACAUACCAAGUGCCAUCGAAUCUGGGCCCAGUAGUUGUCCACUGCAGUGCAGG
rnacentral:misc_RNA from 1 species